GCCCAUCUUUCAAGACCCAGAUUUAAUGCCAUCUCUUCCGGGAAGUCUUUCCUGCUCUCCUUCACACUUCUUUGAUAUUUAGCUGCACUUUUCUUGCGGCACCUCUUGUUUACUUAGGAAGCAUCCAAGAGCCCGACCAGCCAGGAAGGUCCCUCUGGACAGAGAGGGACACAUUCAUCUAAGUCCACCCCAACCCCUUGCCCUCACGCGGCCAGGCGGACAAGUGCAAUAAACAAUGUUGGUUCGCUCCAUCAAUAGUUCUUCCCGGAAACGGAAACCCAGGGCACAACUGCCUCCGACGAAACCACCGGGAUAACCGUCGUCCUGAGGUCCGAGAGCCGGCGAGAACUGCUCCGAGUCUGUUGUAAAACGCCUGCCCCAACCCUGAAGAUGGAGUCGCCUGGAAACUAAGUGACGGAAAAGGGGGUUCCGCCCUCCGGCCCGCGCCACCCCUGACGUUCGCCUCGCCCUCCGAUUGGUUGCUCCUUGCACGUGAUCCGCCGGCCGCCGCGGGAUUGGUUGUCUGGCAGAGGCCGCAGUGGGUGGUGGGAUGCCGGCGGGGCCUGGAGGCGGAGGCCGGUGGGAAGCGGGAGCUGUUGUCUUGGAGGGAGGGCUGGGAACCUAGCAGUCCGCACCGUGAGCCUUCGCGGGCUGGGCCAGCCUCGUGGGAGUCUAGGGCGUAGGAGUUCUGGGAUUUUCCAAAUGGGGCUUAGGACUCCUGCCUGGGUCUGGUGUGAGCCCUGGCUCCGGCCUUACUCGCCUUUCCCCGCAAGGACGGCUUCUCUGUCUUCCUUGGAGUUGGUGGGGUUUGGACCGUUAUUUUUGACCGUCCCUUGUGUGUAAGCAUUGGUUGUCCUGCGCCGGGCGCCGUGCAGAGCGCCAUGAGGUAGAAGGGGCGGGGGGGCAGAGGGAGGGUUUAGAGAUGCUUGCGAUGUGGUCCUUACCUACGUGACGCGUUGGAGGUUGAGGUGAAAAAUCUGGCUUUGAUACCUUCAUGGAGUACUACAUUAUUUCAGUCCUGAAUCUGGUUCCGUUCUCUUCUUGACUUAUUAUAUUAAAGGUGUUUUUUAAAUUGAUAUUUGCUUUGGUAAAACCUUGCUAUUUAACAAGAAUUCUUGCAACUAUCCCCUAUACUCUUUUUACCUAUAAUAAUAAAAGCAUAAUAUGCUAAUUAGACCGGAUGGCCUUUCAGACGACCUUCCGGAUGAAGCUGAGGCAAGCCACCUUGGCUUCGAGGGCCGAGCCCCUUGCACAAAUUUCAUGCCUUGGGCCUCUAGUGAUACAGAAAAGUGUUAAUAUUUUAAAAUCCAUAGGAUGUUCCAUUUCAGAAUUUAGUUUUAUCACCUUGGUGCUAUUAGAGGAUGUUUGUCCUUUGAAUUGCUAAAAUGAGUUAAAAUACUGGGAAACGCCUAUCAGCAGAGGCACCUACAAAUUACUUUCAUCCUUCCUCAUCUAGUUAUGAAUUUUUUAACCCAUAUUUUUUCAUCAAUUUGCCAAUCCAGGCAUGAAUUUUUCUACAUAGGCAACUUAAAGUGUUUUUGUAGUCUUUCUAAUACAAGAUAUUUUGAACAAGGCUGAAUGCUGAAUUCUUGCUGUUGGAGUAGAGGACUUUCCCCCCCAAUUAUUGGAUUAGCAAAAACCCCCACAAAAUGUUAAUACAAAAAUACCCCCAAAAGUCAAAGAUUGUCUGAAUGAAAAA